CAGCAGCAGCCACGGUAAUACGGAGGAUUCAAGCGUUAUCCGGAAUCAUUGGGUUUAAAGGGUCCGUAGGCGGUCUUGUAAGUCAGUGGUGAAAGCCCAUCGCUCAACGGUGGAACGGCCAUUGAUACUGCAGGACUUGAAUUAUUGGGAAGUAACUAGAAUAUGUAGUGUAGCGGUGAAAUGCUUAGAGAUUACAUGGAAUACCAAUUGCGAAGGCAGGUUACUACCAAUUGAUUGACGCUGAUGGACGAAAGCGUGGGUAGCGAACAGGAUUAGAUACCCGAGUAGUCCCUGUCUCUUAUAC
rnacentral:rRNA from 1 species